ensembl:lncRNA
GCUCGGCCGCCCGGUACCCGCGUCCCACAGCUGGGUGGCGGCGGCACCACAGCACCAGGCUGCCCGGCGCACCCAUCCUUGGGGGCUAAGGCACAGCGGGGAAUGGCGUCGGCUCCGUACUGAGAGACUCGGGGAGGCUUUAGGAGGAUGCUACGGGAUUUCGGGGUAGGCUGUGGGAGGGUCUGGGACUCCCUCUGCAGGGUCAGAGGGCUUCGCACCGUGCCAUCUGCGGGCCCAGCCCACUCCAGAGACUGGGCGGCUCCACAGGGGAGGCCCCACGGCCCAGGAACCGGGAAGCCCCCCUGCGCCGUAAGCCCAGAACUGGGCUGGAACCGGGUCCCCACUCCUCGCUGUCCGGCCGAGAGCAGGAGACAGCUCCGCCGCCACAGCCCCAGCGGACGACAACACAAACAUUCUUCCGUCCUCUAUUCUCCUCCAAAUUAGGUAUCCAUGGAGACAGGGCCGGCAGCCUGACAGCCCUACGGCCUAAUCCUGAUUUAGUGACCGUCCCUUUAACAGCCCACCCACCCGUCCACCCACCCCUGCGUUCCGGGCUGCCGCUGGGCGCAGGGUCCAGGCCGCGCUCUCUGCCCCGCGCAGACCCCUUCCCAGACCUCCUCCUCCGGCGGGGGCAGGGGGACCAGAGGGGCUGGGGAAGGGGACCAACAUUUGUUGAUCACCUACAAGGUGCUCAACAAUCUGCGAAGGACCCUCUGCGGAGGGGGGUCGCUAGCAUGCGAAUCCCUGUGUAGACCAGGAGAGGGCUCUUGCGGUGGGGAAGUUUGAGGGGCCCUCUCUGGAGAGCUGGGAGCUCCGGGGGUACCCCUUGUUUCCUGUAGCCCCAGGGUGAAGGUGAGUACAGCCUCCUACAACGCCCUGACUCUGAGAUGGGGGCUCUGUUCUCCCAGGCCAGAGGAGAAGACAUGAGGAGGGUGGGCGCUAGGGGCGCGGGGACCCUAAGUAGCCUCGGUCUCCUGUCACUGCCCCGUCACCAUGCUGGGGAAUCUCCGGGCCAGUAACCCAGCCCCCACCCCUCCCACACACACAGGGGCCGCUGGACAAAGACCUGACGGAGUGGGAGGGGCCUGCGGGCCGGCCCUCGGGCUCCGGACGCUGGAUCCUUCUGGGACCCGAACCCGCAAACCCUGGCUCCCCACCCCCAGGCCAGCAGACGCCCCCAAGCCGGCUGCUCGCUUUCGCUGCAGCCUCCGCACUAGUGGGGGCUGUGAGACGGUGCCCGUCGGCGGCCGGGCGGCGAUCCCCUGCUCUGCCUGCCCCUUCCCCCCGGGAAGUGACCCUCGGCUCCCACGCACCCGCUAGGGUCUCUCGCCAGCCCUGCCCUCCGACCCCCGCCGAGUUGAACCCCGCGACCCGCAGCCCCCGCCCUCUCGGCCCUCUCCGGCCCCGCGCCGGCGGACAAAGCUCCGGACACCCCGACCAAACGGUCACCUCCCCCGCCCCAUCCCGGCCCGCCCGCGGCCCCGUACCUCGGCAUCACGGCCGGGUCCUAGAUGCCUUGAGCGUGAUUCCUGAGAAUGCUGUCUCUGAACUCCCACUACACCAUGACCGUGGCUCCCUCACCAUGGCCCUGAGCUGUGCCAGAGAGAAUGGGUUAUUCAGUGAGAACCUUGAACUUAUGUGCCCAGACCUCCCCUCCAAUCUACUAGGAGUGCAGAAGGAUCUGCAACAGGUAUGCUGUAGUGGUGGUCAGGACACCCCUGCCUGA